rnacentral:rRNA from 1 species
AGAAGUCGUAACAAGGUUUCCGUAGGUGAACCUGCGGGAGGANCAUUGUCGAGACCGAAAUAUAUCGAGCGAUUCGGAGAACCUGUGAACGAGCGACGGCGCCCGCCGUCGCGUGACGUCCGCCCCUGCCGCCGGCCUCGUCGGGGCCGCGAUCAGGGGCGGAUAAAACUCAAACCGGCGCAGCUACGCGCCAAGGCAACGCAAAUAGACGAGCCCGCACCGGGCUCGGUGGCGUGCGGUGCNUUCGGGCAUCGCGCGCGUAAAAAUGACUCUCGGCAAUGGAUAUCUCGGCUCUCGCAUCGAUGAAGAGCGCAGCGAAAUGCGAUACGUGGUGCGAAUUGCAGAAUCCCGCGAACCAUCGAGAAUUUGAACGCAAGUUGCGCCCGAGGCCAGCCGGCCAAGGGCACGUCCGCCUGGGCGUCAAGCGUUGCGUCGCUCCGCUCCAGCCCCAUCCCACCCGACGGGUGUGCAUGCGGGAGGGUCGGAUGUGCAGAGUGGCCCGUCGUGCCCACGGGUGCGACGGGCUGAAGAGCGGGUGAUCGUCUCGUUGUCCGCGAACAACAAAGGGGUGGAUGAAAAUUGUGCCUGUGUUGUUGUAUCGUGGCGGCAUGAGAAGUGAUCGUAACCCGCGGAUGAUCCCACCCCGAGCGUCGAUCCACGGACGGCGGCUUGGAAUGCGACCCC